rnacentral:lncRNA from 1 species
ACCUGUCCUCUGACUUCCACAUGUGUGAGUGUGUACACAUGCUCGGGCACGCACACAGUACACGUACAUAUGCAAAAAUAAAUACAUUUUUGUUUGUUUGUUUGUUUUUCAAGACAGGGUUUCUCUGUGUAGCUCUGGCUGUCCUGGAACUCACUCUGUAGACCAGACUGGCCUCGAACUCAGAAAUCCACCUGCCUCUGCCUCCUGAAUGCUGGGAUUAAAGGAAACAAACAAACAAACAGCAGUUACUGGAGACCAGAGAGAAAGGAGGAGUCACAGAUCGGGGAAAGGUCAGUAGAGAUAAAGGAACGGAUAGACCUGAAAUAAUAAAGAGAAAUAUGUUCAUAGUAUUCAUUGUUGGGCUGGCCCAGACAU